CAAGCCCCCUGGAGCAGCCAGGCAACCGAGUGAGCCCGUCUCCCUUGCCGACGGCCAAGACAACCACCGUCGUCUCUCGGUCAACCCCGACCAGCCCAUAGCCUCCCCCGCCUCCUUGGAACCGCCAUUAGUCUCCUAAUGCACUAUAGAACCCAUCCCCGCCCACAAUUUAGCUCAAGAGACACGGUGUGCCGAAACCACCUUCCCAUCGCAGCUCCCUUCCGCCAUGGACAAAGAUUGCAUAUUUGAAAAGGAGCAUCCUGACGACAACCCCAGAACCUACGCACCGAUGAUAGUAGCCACACGAGAUAGGAGUUAUCCACUUCAGCCGUUCUUGUUGGAAAGGGAGUCCCGUUGAUGCUGGAGAUCCCCGAACCGCUUCGGCCAUCAACCACUAGAGAUCUUUGUUAUACUCCAUAGACCAUCAUGGUAUUGUACUCCAAAAUUAUGUAUUUUCUUGGAUAUUUGUAUCAAUGAAGUGUGCAUCAGCUAAUAGUAUUCCUAGGGCUGAUAUGCACAAGGGGCAUUUGAUGGAAAAUUAAUAACCUAGAA